AACGAACGCUGGCGGCAGGCUUAACACAUGCAAGUCGAACGGGUGUAGCAAUACAUCAGUGGCAGACGGGUGAGUAACACGUGGGAACCUUCCUAGAGGUACGGAACAACGCAGGGAAACUUGCGCUAAUACCGUAUACGCUCUUGCGAGGAAAGAUGUAUCGACGUUAGACGGGCCCGCGUCGGAUUAGCUAGUUGGUGAGGUAACGGCUCAUCAAGGCGACGAUCCGUAGCUGAUCUGAGAGGAUGAUCAGCCACACUGGGACUGAGACACGGCCCAGACUCCUACGGGAGGCAGCAGUGGGGAAUCUUGGACAAUGGGCGCAAGCCUGAUCCAGCCAUGCCGCGUGAGUGAAGAAGGCCUUCGGGUUGUAAAGCUCUUUUGUCAGGGACGAUAAUGACGGUACCUGAAGAAUAAGCCCCGGCAAACUUCGUGCCAGCAGCCGCCGUAA
rnacentral:rRNA from 1 species